CACGUAGGGCGCAAGCGUUGUCCGGAAUUAUUGGGCGUAAAGAGCUCGUAGGUGGUUUGUUACGUCUGCUGUGAAAACCUAGGGCUUAACCCUGGGCUUGCAGUGGAUACGGGCAGACUAGAGGUAGGUAGGGGAGAAUGGAAUUCCUGGUGUAGCGGUGAAAUGCGCAGAUAUCAGGAAGAACACCCGUGGCGAAGGCGGCUCUCUGGGACGGUACUGACGCUGAGGCGCGAAAGCGUGGGGAGCGAACAGG
rnacentral:rRNA from 1 species